UACGUAGGGUCCGAGCGUUGUCCGGAAUUAUUGGGCGUAAAGGGCUCGUAGGCGGUUCGUCACGUCGGGAGUGAAAACUCGGAGCUUAACUCCGAGCCUGCUUCCGAUACGGGCAGACUAGAGGUAGGCAGGGGAGAGCGGAACUCCUGGUGUAGCGGUGGAAUGCGCAGAUAUCAGGAGGAACACCAGCGGCGAAGGCGGGCGCUCGUGGGCUGGAACUGACGCUGAGGAGCGAAAGCGUGGGUAGCAAACAGG
rnacentral:rRNA from 1 species